AGGGUGGUCGGCCAAAGUAGGCCACUAGCCUUCAACUCUAGUAGCGCAGGUUCGAACCCUGCCCAUCCUG
rnacentral:tRNA from 1 species